rnacentral:snRNA from 1 species
GGAUGUGGGGGCGAUCUGGCUGCGACACCUGUCACCUCAUUGAUUGCCAGGGUUGAUUCGGCUGAUUCCGGCUGCCUGGGCGGGUGUCCCCUUCCUCCCUCACUGCUCCAUGAGCGUCUCUCCCAAAGCUGCCCACACCGUAUAAGAGGACGGCCUUCUCCGAAUAGAGACAGACCGGUCUUUGGUUGAGGGUAUACGAGUAGCUGUGCUCCCUUGCUAGAACCUCCAAACAAGCUCUCAAAGAAUGUCUCCUAUUAGACUUCCUACUCACAUCUUUAACUAUUCUGAAUGAUCGCAUAGGGAUGUUAACCUCAGUAGUCAUAUUUACAAAGACU